rnacentral:lncRNA from 1 species
UAAACUUCAAUGUCACUUCAACUCUAAGUCACACGAGCAAAACAUGAAAUAUCCUCAACCGGGGCACAUGUGUUCGAUAGCAUCUCUUUUAGGAUCAUCUCCAUGAGAAAUGUUUAUGCUCGGCAUGUUGUCACAUCUUAGCCUCAUCACUCUCGAAUCACAUCUUUCUUGCAUAUACAUUCUUCUCAAAGACGCAAAAUUUUAAAACGACACCAUGUCGUCUUCCAGAUGCUACCUUAAGUCAACUCUCCUAAACUUUAGAAUAGCAACUUGGAUUGGAGGGCUCUUAUUCUGGACUAGGCCUAAGCUCAUACUCGUUGUCGUGCUCGACACAAAACUUAAAGGACAUAGCUGAUCCACUCCUGGAGUCUACAUGUAACAACCCAAUUUUUGUUACUUUAGAAUUUACUUUAUUUUGAGUUUUGACCUUUUAUUCUUUUAUGCCUCUGUAGUUUUUAUGGUGCUUAAUAUUUUUUGUGUCCAAAACUUUUCCAAUUUAAAUUUUUAAAAGCUUGAAAAGGGG